ACGCACUGUUAACGCGUUCUGUCACUCUGCCAUCAUGAUCGCCAUCACCAAGCCGUGUCUGCUACUCGUGCUACUCGUGCUGAUGUCGCACCCUGUCUCAAUAAUGGGUUAUAAUGACAGAGGACAGUCGUCUUCUGGAGUUUAUGGGCCCAAUUUUGCCAACCAACCAACUGGCCAUCAAGUUCCUCGAGGUGAUUUUCCUGUCGUGGACAUCCGGUCUUCGGCGGCACAGAGCAGCGCCAGUACAUUAUUGUCAGUUGGUUGGAUUGCGUGUUUGAGUGCAUAUUUGUUGUUGGCAUAAAAAUAUAGAUUGAUGACUAUUUAGACAAGAUUAUUGUGUAACGUUGAAAUAAUUUGGUACAGUCAGCAAUAUAGUAGCUGAACAAAUUUAAAAUUUCAAAUCGCCUUUUAAUUUUUUUCCUUUGUGUACAGCAAAUCUUUUUUUUUAUUUUUGUGAAGAGAAAAAUAAAUAUUGUUAAGCACGUAAAAAAGCAUAGGCGAUUUGAAGUUUUGAUUCGUCCAGUUACUUAUGUGGCUGACCUUACCUAUAAGGAUAACCGCAAAUAUAAUUCAACAGUCUUAAUUUAUUAUAGUCCUGCUGUUUACAAACAAAUGUUCCAAAGAAUUUACCCCAAUUAAUAUCCAUCCUUAUAGGUCAUAAUUGCAUGAAUACUGUAAUAAUUUUUUCUAAUAUACAGUAAGAAUAAAGUUGUAAUUUUACUCGAUUAUAAUAUAGAUUAUUCAGCUUUAAUGGAAACAGCUCAUCCGGUAUGAUGCGGUAGACCGCAGAUGCCUUGUAAAUAUAAUAAAACAAUACACUAAGUACAAAA